AAGGGCGGACACUUUCGUUUGUCACUCGAGACCUAUUAUGGUCGAGUUACCUGUAAAUUAUACUAUUUAAAGUCCAUAAACCGGUAGUUAUACAAUCCAAUCGAGUUAAAUAGUUCGGGUUGCGGUUACAGUAAACUGUAUACUUUAAAACUAUUUCCGUUAAAAAAUCCGUUACCAUUAACUACGUAAACUACCUUUAUGUUCGAAAUUUAGGGAUUGUUAGUAAUGCGGACUGCCAGAUCCAUUGCUAGCAAUACACCUUGUCAGGUCGACCUCCACGUGGUCUCCUCUAGUAACCAUCGUGCUGAAUUACAGGUGUAUUCAUCGCGAUGGGAUAAUUAACCUGCCUAUUCAUUCACACCUAUCAUCCCUCACUAGUGCAUCAGCGCAGGCAGAGUUACCAUUCCAUUAUCGUCCAUUAAAAAAAAGUACCUUUAUGAGUUGGUAAAACAAAUUAAGAAUUAUUAGACUAAUCUUAAAAGAUAGAAUUUUUCAAAAAAUUUAGAAGAAUAGAAUGUAUAUUUAUUUAUAUGUAUUAUUAUAUCCAAUAAUGAAGUAGCGCGUUCGUGAUUCACUGUUCAUCCCAAAGGUUGACUGGUAGAGAACGCUACUAACAAUAAGUCCUUUUGUACCAUAUUUUAUUUUGGUCAAUAAAGUUAUUAUAGAUAAAAUAAACAAAUAAACUAUUCUUUGUACGAAAUAAAAAUUUAAAAAUCUCCAAAAACAAGUAUGCAGAAAAAGGAAACUAGUCAGAUAAAACUGGGAGAAACAACCAGUAUUACAAACUUUAAGAUAUCACUCACCGCUGAUGCAUACCACAACAAUGAUUCAUCAUAGUUGGAAUCAAUGCACUUGUUCCGAGAAUUGAAUUCGGCGUGCGCACACGCAGCUAACAAAACAAAUCCUCUAGUCAUCACUCUUACAACCUUACGAUACGGUUUAACAUUAUUUUUAUCAGUUAUCAGAACGGGUUUAACAUGUACAAUACACUACGUAUGUGGAUACCAUUUCACCGUAUUUAUAUAAAAAAAAAAGCAAAACCGAACACUUACCUUCGUACAUCUGCGCGUACUGCGGGAAACCAGCUGCUCGUAGCCAUUUGCAUGCUUCCGUCGCUUCGAUCUCUGGCAAAGGGCCAAUCAGUACUAUUGUAGGGUCGACGUGUACUAAUGUCUAAAUAAUGGACGAAAGCAGAUACAAAGCUAUAAAAUGGACGCGCGCAGAUAAGCCGUGAAAGCGAUUGGAUACGGCAGUUUCUUGUCACGUAGACUGUUACGUCAUUACGUUAGUAGGGAACGUGUGAUUAGUUGCCG